GUGCUCACUUCAGCAGCACAUAUACUAAAAUUGGAACGAUACACAGAUUAGCAUGGCCCCUGGCAAGGAUGACCAGAUGUGAAGAUAAAAUGUAACAUGCAUUU